GGGGUGGUAGAGUGGUGGGGAGCCGAGCUGGGUGGCUGGUUGCUCUGUCCACAUCCUUCUGAGGCCACACAAAGCUGCUCGAGGCCAGGGCCUUGAAUUAGGAAGGGUGGGUCCUGAGAGCUCAUUGCUAUAACACUCCGUUUUUCAGAUCCCUGGUUCCUUAAGUCUUGUUUCCACUUGCUCCUCUGCCUCCUCUCGGGCACAGCCAGCCAAUGACUGGGUCAGCAGUUGGGCUCUGCGAAUCUGGCCAGCCUUCCGCAGGGAUUAAAGGGCAGCUGGGUCUGUGGCUGCUGUGGUGACUGGUGCAGUCUCCAGGAUGGCCGUGCACAGGAUAUACACCUCUACAGUACAGACUGUGCCAGUGUGACUGUUCCUAUGGAAUAUUGGAGAAAAAAGAUGAACCAGAGAUGGGGAAAGAAAAGGGCCUGAGGCUGAAGAUGAGAUGACCCCUAUCAGAACAAGGGGAUUGGUCACUGACUUAAUCAGGGCCCUGGGAUUGGUUUCAGGACCAGUGCUGAUGGUGCAGAAUGGGAAUGACUUUCCGUGGUGUUGCUGUGUCAAGAUUUAUUUUGAGAGAGAGAACAUGAAUAGGGAUUGAAGGAGAAGAAGAGAGAGAAUCUCAAGCAGACUCCCAACUCCCUGCUGAGCAUGAAGCUCAACACUGGGCUCAAUUUCAGGACUCUGAGAUCAUGACCUGAGCUGAAACUAAGAGUUUGACGCUCAACUGCACCACCCACGUGUCUCUCCUUUAGAGUUUUUUACUUUAUUCAGUUUCUCUUUAACUAGACUAUUCCCAUACAAGAAUGUUUCAUAUGAGAUACUUGAGGCUGGGCACUGGCUUCAUUCACUAAGUACUUUUUGGGAUUUUUAUAUGUCUCUUAUUAUACAUUUGAUCAUAUCACAUUUGUGAUGUGGUAUUUUAUUUUAUUUUAUUUUAUCUUAUCUAUCUGUCCAUCUAUCUAUCUAUCUCUAGAUUUUAUUUAUCAGAGAGAGAUGGAGCCAGAGCCAGGCAGGGGGAGCAGCAGGCAGAGGGAGAAACAGGCUCCCCGCUGAGCAGGGAGCCUGAUGUGGGACUCCAUCCCAGGACCCUGGGAACAUGACCUGAUCUGAAGGCAGACACUUAACUGACUGAGCCACCCAGGCAUCCCUAUUUUUUAUUUAUUCUUUAAAAUUACUUCUAUUUUCAAGUCAAUCAGGCAACAGAUAAUAAUUGAGCACUUACUGUAUGCCAGUGAGUAACACAGAACCCAGCCCCGAAGGAGCUCUCAAUUCAGUACAUAUCCAACUGCCUCAUUUUGUGACAAAGAUACUGAGGCUCCAAGAGUUUAAGUGUCUUGUCCACAGUCAUCUGGCUAGAAAGGUCACAGCCAGAAUUGAAC
rnacentral:lncRNA from 1 species